ACGCUGCGACCGGGCUCCUGGCAGGGGGGCGGCGGGAGCAGUGCGCCGAGCCCGGAGGGGACCGGGUGCCCCGGGGGAGCGCGCGCUCGGGGGAGCAGGCGAGACGCGGGGUCCCUGGGACCGUUGCGCGCGCGCGCGAGCCUGUCGAGGUGCCCUGAGCGGCCGGCACCCCCGCCCCUCCCCCCGCGGCCCCCCACAAAUGUUGCAAACUUUUGCAAGCCAGUGCUGGGCUUGCAGAAGAGGGCGAGGGGGGACGGGGACGGACCAGAGCGUUGACAGUCAGGCGACUCCAACACCAUGUCCCCCUUGAUUGCAUGUUUUAUUUUCUGCAAAGACGAGCUGUCCAAAUUAAAUACAAUCUCCCCCCCACCACAAAGAAACCAAGACGGGGGAAUGGGGGAAAGAAACUUUUAAAGCGGUAGUGUCCUUUUAAGAAGGGGGAUGGGGUCUGUUUGUGGCUACUAGCUUCCACAGUUACCUUUUCUGAUCUUGACAGUUUCUCACAUACGCUCCCCCAACCCCCCGUAGCCGGAGUCGCGGCGGGUGUUCGAGUCCUUCCUCUCCCGUGAAAGGUUAGGGGCUCAAGAGGAGCAAGAGACCUAGAAGUCUCUAGGGACGGAAAGGGGGCGCUCCCGGGGCUAAGAGGGGGCGACGCGGGCAGCUUCUUCUCUGGAGCUCUGGAGGUGGGUUUGGAGGAGUCAGGGUCCCGGUGCGCGGGAUGCCAUGGAGUUGCCCCUCCAGCGUGGCAAGGGGAAGAAGCGCAACUUUGUAGCCGGGGGUUCGGAGACCAGAGCCCUGGAAGAGGCUGGCAGGGGGCGUGUGCAGCGCGCGGAGGGAGGGCGGCAGUGGAGUGGGGGCGCUUCACGCGGGAUCGGAGGGAGAGGCUGUGACAGCAAACAAACGCAGAGACAACGCUGAGAAAAGCACCCAAACUUAUUUCUGCUCUGGGAAUUCUCCCCUCGCCGCGAUGCCCAGCGUUUCUGCGGGAACCUGGGGAUGAUCAGAGUUGAGUGCUCGUGGGCCUGGGCUAAGGAGUCUGCCCUCGCUGGGUCAUUGGUUCAUUUCGUGUUGGUGUCUGGAGUGUGUGAAGGAGGGGACCGGGGAGACGAGGGUGCUUGUUCCCCUCUUGCCCUUUUCUUAAAGUGGCCUGAUCUGGAAAGCGGACUCCUUUCUUAAAGGUGUCAGAACCUGCUGUGGGAUUUCCCCACCUCCUCCUUCGGGGGUGGGGGAUUAUUUAUUUGAUGCUCCGGGAGUUUGCAAAGAGCAGAAGGAAGCUGCAGCUUUAAUUACUGUUGUAAAUAAUGUAUAAAUCACGCCUGUCACUCCGGAGGAAGUGGGCUCCUGCGAGCCACCGCGGGGCUUGGGACCUAGAGGUUCUCUCCAGCCAGGAUCUGGUGCCUAGGGGGAUUGGGGGAAGGCAAAGGAGGGAUUCAGAGCCGCUCCCUUGCUCUCCGAUGUGCUUGCUAGCUAGCUGGAGGUAGGAACAUGGCUGAUCAUGUGCUGGCUGUUUUACAGUAUUCCCCCCUCCCGCCCCACCUUAGCCACACCCCCUGUCCGGGCGCUUUCCCAUUCACGGAAUUCGAGUACAGUAAAAGCCAUCAGGAUGACAUAUGCUGGGGGGGGGGGGCAUUUAAUUAAAGCGAUUUCCGAAGAGUGACUGCGCUGAGGCUUGGUUUGAACCGGAGGAACGGGGCCGGCAAGGAACGGGAUGAAUAGAAAAGGGUUGAAGACUUGAGGUGGGGGGCGGCCGCGACCGGCCACCAGCUCCGAGAGUUUGUGUGCAGAGCUUUUGGCUGCAAAGAGUCUAUUUAGAGCCGGAGAUUUGGAAUGCAAGCGGGUUAUGUAACAGGGUUAAUCAGAAACGCUGGAGAAAAUCCCCUUCAUGUGUUUGGAGGCUUUUUUUUUCUAGAAGGGGUGCAGGGUGUCUAGGAAGCAGCUCUAAUUUCUGGCUUGCACCUUUCCUCUUCCUUUAGCCCCUCCCCAUCUCCCCUGCUUUAUUAACAUCUUCAGGUGUCAUUCCUGCCAGAAGGUGUGUUCUUACAAUAGAUGGGGUGGCAGGCUGCAGAACCGACUACAAAUCUGUAACUUGCUGUUACUGCAAAUUAUAGAAAGCCGGGGAAUUUGGUACCCCCCGCCCCAAAAAGCUCCAAGGAACCAAAAUAGGAGCAGUGUGCCUCUACCAGGAUGACCUGCUGACCCAUAUCCCUUUACCCCCCAAGAGCCCCAACCGUGUUCUUUGAAGAAAAAAAAAAAACCUAAAAAUCCCUGUCUGUUUCUCCAAGGAGAUUUAUUGGGAAGAGGGAAGUAAGGCCCAGACACUCCACUCACAUCCUGCACGCAGGCACUAGGUUACAUAACAGUCUGAAUGGAAAAAAGGAAGGUCAGACAUGGAGGCAUCCUUUAGCCAACACGGCAGUAGUAAUAUCUUCCAGGAAUUACUUGCAGUUGCAGACCUUGACCUCAGAUGUAUCGUCUACUUCUCAGAGGUGCCAACCUUGGUGUGUGUGUGUGUGUGUGAGAGAGAGAGAGAGAGAGAGAGAGAGAGAGAGAGAGAGAGAGAGAGAGAGAGAGAGAGAGAGAGAGAGAGAAAGCGAGCACCCGGGAGAAAAGGAGAGACUACUGUGUAAGUAUGCUGGGUAGUUGAGAGUGAUGUGCAAAUGGGAAAUGUUUGGGUUUUUAGAUGAUGUAAUGGACUUGGCAGAAUAUGCAACUCGGCUCCCGGAGUGUAAGCAUAAGAAAAUUGGAGCUGGCAUCCCAUAUUAAUGUUGCAUAAAUUACAAUAUCAGAAAGAAAUUAACCUACACACUAGGUGAUUAUGCCUCUUAAAUACUUAAAACAUAAAGGCACGGGCUUAAAAGGCAAAGCAAACAUCACCACCCCGCAAUUAGCCCCUUCUACCUCAGAAGGGUUAGUGAAGUUCCCCAUGGAAGGGAAGCUUUCUGACUUGAGAGGUGUUUUCCUCUGGGUCUUGGGUGCUUGUUCUCAGCCAGCCAGCAGAUGCUUGGAGCCUAUAGAAAUUGCGGGUAUAUUCCCAUGACAUUGAUGUGACCUCACGGGAUAUUGCCUAGGUAGAUUUGAAGCUGUUGUUAAAUUCCUAUGUCCUGGGAAUCUAAGUAUGAACGGAUUAGAGGCCUUCAGUGCCUGGGCUUUCAAAAUCAGAUAUGUGGUUUUAUAAUCUGGAAGUUGAUCUCCCUGUGUUCCUUCUAACUCCAAGGGAAUGGUAGUGGUCUUAAUGAAACCCUUGCAUUUUUAGGAAGUAUUAAUGAUGGCUGGUGCCAUUCAGCUCCAUCUUUCCUGGGAAAGUGGUGGAAGAGAAUAAAAAACAGGCAAGAAGCAACAUGGCAAGUUAAAAAAAAACAUACUGUGAAUCUUUAAUUUAACAAGGCUUUUGGGGACUUUUAGGGAACUGUGAGCAUUGUGGCAUAACUGGUUUUAGAAACUCUUUCCCAGAAUCUCCAAAUUAUAUGCAUGCCAGAAGCUUACAUACUGUACUACACUAAAAGCUACCCUCUCAGGACUGUGUACCAUGGCCUGGGCUCGCAAUGCUGGUGCGCAAAGCUUUUAGGGCAGGCCAACCUAAGAGAAAAAUGGAAACCAAAGGAUGGGGUGAAUCCUGCGAAGCUGGGUGGGAGUGAGGAACAACCCCCUGGAAGGUCCGCUGAAUAUGACUUAAAUCAAGUAACAGGGCCUCAUGGCUCUGCAACCUAGAGGAAUGCUGGAACUGUGUAACCUUCCACGUUGGAAGUGUACCUGCUCCCUUCUCACCAGUCCCUGCUGAUUCACUUUCUAGAAGGUUCUCUUACCUGGCAGUGUGGCAUCUUUUCUAGAGGUGAAUUUUCAGGUUACCUUUGCUGGCAUGGUCCCUGCCCUCUAUAGGGAAUAAAUGAUAGUUUCCCUGGCUGGGAGGAAAAUCCUUUCCCAGAGGAAUGGGAUGAUUUCGUUUUAACUAAGGGACUGUAAUUUUCUGGUAAAUUGCUCAUAAAAACAUUUAUAAUUAUACCUUUAAAAUGCAAUGGGAUAAUUUUAGAAAAUACAUUUUAUGAUAGUUAGGAUAACCUUUCUGUUGCUUCAUCCUAAUUUCUUAUAAAGAAUUGAAUUAUUAAUCUAGAAUUUAAGUCCUAAGUGGCUAAAACACUUACAGCACACCCUUGCUCUGUUUGCCAAAAUCCAUUGGCAUUGCACUGAGCUCUGGGCUUUAGAAAACGUCUCUUUUUUUUCUGACUCUGAAGUGUGGCUCAUGCCUGUCCAGGAGCUGGGCUCUGACAACACUUCUGUGACUGUUCAGGGCACAUGGCCCCCGGGGGUGGUGGGUGGGUGAGUGGGGCCUACACAGCUCCUUGAUGUCAGACAGACUCUGAACAUGGGAUGGAGAGGUGGAGACAGCUUAAUCACUUUUGGAAACAAAGUAACCUAUGUCUAAAUUUAACCCUUAGAAUGCAAGUCAGCAAGGGUCAUCUUCAGGUCAAUGUCAGACAGAGGGGCGCACAUUUUCUUCUUCUCUGAUGUCCCCAUUUUGCAUUUAGGAAUUUGUGAUGUGACAUUGGGAAGACUCAUUGAGUAUAGUCACAUAACAUGAACCCACUUUUAAAAAUAUUACUGUGUGUGUGCAUGAAUGUGUGUGCAUGUGGGUCACGGGUCAAUCAGCGUCAGGUGUCUUCUUAAAUUGCCCUCUACUUUAGUUUUUGAGAUAGGGUCUUUCACUGGACUUAAAGUUCAAUGAUUCAGCCUCCCCAGUGAUGGGAUUACAGGUCUGUGCUUCCACACCUGCAUUUUGUAUGUGGGUUCUGGACACUUUACCAACUGAGCUGGCUCCCCAGCCCCCAUGUCCUGAGGAUUUUUACAGUAUAUGUUACUUUUUUAGAGUUCUCCUUUUCCUAUGCAUCUCCCCACUCUGAUCUCCAUUUUCCUUCUUAGCUUCAGUGGGAACUCCUGAGUGUCGGGAGGCAAAAUACAAAACUUCAUCUUAGAGGUGCUUGUGUGUGUGUGUGUGUGUGUGUGUGUGUGUGUGUAUGCAAGUGCAGAACUGUGAGUGUACAUGUGUAUGUGUGUUUAUUAUGUUCUAAUAUGACAUUCGCUGCCCCUCAAUCUCUGUGUCACCAUUGAGAUAAUGAGCAGGUCUCUGAAAUAGGUGUCUUCCACUCCCUAAUGGAGAUCCCUGACCCAACCUUCAGGAUGAGUUAUAACUUCUCCUAGAGCAAGGAGUCAUUUGAAAGGGCUUCGGCUACCAGGGCUUACACUAACCUAGAAUAUAGAAUAUAUUUCACAGUUCCAAAAAUCUCCCUCGCUCUGGAUUUGGGCUGGUGGCCCCCUUCCACUUCCCUCCCUCUGUCUCUCCCUCAUUCUCUCUCUCUCUCAUAUUUAUUUUAUGCCUAAUUCAUCAUGGGAAAUAUUGGUUAGAAUUAAGCUGUUAAAACUUUUCAACUAUGUUUUAGACUAUGUAUUAAUAUAAUUGUGUAAUUUUUGGUUUAAUGCUUAAACGUAACCCAGAUGAUCAGUGUCCAAGUCUUGGCUGUUGUAUAAUCAAUCAUGGUUUUUCUCAUGGUGUUGAUAAUGAAUUUUUUUGUUUUGUUUUGUUUUUGUCUGACACUAGAUUAAUCCCAUGUGGAUUUUUUGUUUUUGUUUUUUGUCUUUUCUUUUUUGAGUAAGUUGUUUAGCUGUAUGGUUCCCUCUCCUGGCCUAGAGAGCACAUCAGACAGGAAAUUGAAUCUCUUUUUGGAGUUUCAGAGCCUCGAGGUGCUGUGGGGUCAUGGUUCUGAGCAUGAAUUCUUAUUGUACAUUGCAGAACUGAAAAUGAGGAGACUGUCCAACAUCUGUCGUGAGUCUUGAUCCCACCUGGAAAGUGUUUUUAUUUGUUUGUUUUUGUUUUCCUGUGAAAUCCUCAGCAGGACUGUUUGCUUUCUUGUUACCUGUGUUGCAAGCAGCAAGUCAGAAAUUCAAUUAUUUGUUCCGAGUUAGUGGAGGUCUUUAUUUUAUAGGAAAUUGUCAGGCAGAAUCUAAAAUCUGUUUGUUUGUUUGUUUGUUUGUUUGUUUGCUUAUUAUUUGUUUGCUUAUUUGGGACAGGGUCUCAGGGUGAUCCUCCUGUCUCAGCUUCCUGAGUGGUUGGAUUACGGUUGUCCGCUAAAGUCUUAUCUCUUCCCAUGGAAUAGUGGUUCUCACCCUUCCUAAUAGUGCUAAACUUUAAUACAGUUCCUCAUGUUGUGGUGAUCCCAACCAUAAAGUUCUUUUCUGGUAUGAACAUUAAUGUAAAUAUCUGAUAUGAAGGAGAUCUGACAUGCAGGACAAAGGGGCCCAGACCCAUAGACUGAGAACCACUGCUCUAGAAUUAUAGAAGAUGCAAAACCCUGAAAUAUCCAGGGAGGCAAUCCUGUUCGCAAGUCCUGUAAUGUGGCUUCCUCUCAUGUAAUAGGGAUGGAUAUCCACUAACUUCCUUUGGAGACAUUGGGAGCAUCUCUUUGGUAGGGGUCUCAUGCACUUGGAAAGUUAGGAAGCUUCAGGGUUCAGGCUUGUAGGAAAGAACAUUUAGAGGCCCCAAGAGAAAGUCCUUUCCAAACUGUAGCUUUUGGGAGGCAUUUUUAAACCACAGAGAUGGCUUCCUCAGCACCAUCACACUUGACUUAAUGUUAGUCAUUGAUAAUUUUCUGCUGCCUCUGUUGUAUCUGUUUGAAUUCUUGGUGCUAUGAUAGCCUAUCAUCAUCAUCAUCAAUGGACUAUUUUUUGUAAAGGCAUCAAGGGGAUUGUUUAAGGAAGUUAUUGUGAUAGAAGCAGUGGGAAUAAUGAAGAAUGAAGGCCCCACAGCUUACUGUAGGAAGACUGGCUUUCGGCUCCAGCUCUUCCAUGCUAAUGCUGAAAUGAAUUACAGGGAACAAUCCCCUGUUGAGGGAGGAACAGUUCCUCCUCCCAAAAUAUUUUUAUGGCUUUCAUGACAUGACAUUAUUAUAAAUUGUGUCGCCAUGUCAUAUGAGAUGAUGCAUUAAUGAUAGCAGAGGCAUUUUGAUUUCCUAGGGUUUAUCUACAAAACCUGGUUCCUGGUGGCUGGCUGGGGAGCCCUGUACUCUUGGAACUCAGAGUUUCCCACACCUUCAAAGAUGGAGAAGGACCCUGAGCUAUCUCAGGGUAAAUUUCUAUCCAUUUUAUCCUGAAUCUUCCACUGGAGGCUGGGAGUGAGACAGAAGCUUCGUGAUACAGAGGCUGUGUUUCUUCUCUGGUGGAUUCAUCUUAGCUAUGUCAUUAGGCGUUGGCACUUGUGACACAAAUUGCCUUAAACUGUUCUGAAGUAAGAAAGACGUUUCUACAUGUGGGCAUUGGUCACAGUAGAUGAAGUCUUCUGAGAUACAAGGAAAGGGCACCACUUAGUGUUAGAUCCUUAAGCCUGUAAAAGAGGUAUGCACUGUUAAAAAUACCUAGCUUACUUCGGGGGAGGAUUUGACUGAAUACUGAUGGAGUUUAUGAAAUAUGAAUAUAGUGAGUCGCUGUACGUAAGUGGUAGGCGUGUGUGAAAGAAGAAGAAAUAAAAUUGUGUAUAAAUGACACUCUGAAACUUGAUGGAAUUGCACACGUGACAGGAAUGGUGACGUGUGGGUCUGUGCUUUACAGAGGGAAAGAGAAACAGGCUGAAAAAUCCAUCUGUCAAACUUGAUAUGGGACUAGAAAUUAUAAAAUAGAAAAAUCAGUUGACUUGGAUUAUAGGCAAAGAACAUCACCAAGGAUAAAAAAGGAGCUUGAAAGAAUUGAAAUGAAAUUUCCAGAAAAGUAGUGGGGGCAAAAAUCCCAGAGGCCAAUGUUGGAAUACAGGAUGAGGUACACUAAAUACCAUCUUUAGCAUUCUGGGCUAUUAACUCUUGUGGUGUUGGGCUUAGAGCCAAACCAAAGACACAACUAUGAAUUUCCAGUUGUGUAAAAGAAAUCACCUUGAUCUCCCCCAAGCCUAAAUAUAUGUAGCAGGGCCUGUAGCUGCACACCAUGCCAUUUCCCCUGCCUUGUUCUGAUUGAUUGACAGCCUAUACUAUAUGCUUCUUUCCUGAAGGUGAUUUUACAGUCUCUAAGCACAGACAUGUCUCGCCGAAGUGAAGGAACGAGAAUCCACAAGCUAAAGUGUGUUUCACUGGGUGAGAUAUUUUGGUGGGUGGGAAAAGAAUGGAGAACUAGGGGAGGGAAUCGUUUAAAAAGAGGUUUAGAUGCCCUUCUGAGGCUGGGAAUUGGAGGCUGUGGAUGAAGGCAGGGACAGAGACGCUGCAUGGUGAAGAAGUAAGUUGGCAUUGACUGUGAAAUUUUAAAUUAUCUUUAACAAGGACAAUGAAAAGAGGCAUGCUGAAACGUUGAGAAGUUAUGACGAACUUGUCGAGAAUGCCAAUUCACAAAGGCAGGUAUGGGAAUACUCAGAAAACCAGGCAGCUUUUGAGUGCCAGUCUGAAGGGCAGAGAGAGCGGCUUCCUGGUGCGUUGAGGGAAUUGGUGGGUGUGCUUAUUGACUCUUCCAAUUAGUUUUAAAGCAAUCUGAAGAAAUGGACAAAGACGGAGAAAAGGCAGCCAGAUGUGAUCCUGAACUUCCAGAAGCAGAGUGCCUCUGUCAUCCCUUAGGAGCCGUGGCAGUUGCAGACAGGAAUAAGCCAGUGGAAAUGAGUGGAUCUUGAAACACCCAGUCACAGAGGAAACACGCAUGCUUAUCAGGCCUGAGACCGCUUAAAUAAACUGCAUCUCUUUUCAUUUCCAGUUUCCAGUUGGGGAACCAGAGGAUGGUGAACAGGUUAUGAUACAGUUUGUGCUCUGCAGGGACACUGGUGUGCUAAGGAUGUUCUCUCUAAAAGUGUAGGGCAGCUGGGAGGGCGAACUGCCCAUAACUCUCAAACGUCCAGGUAAUGAAGUAUCGGGAAAAGCUAAGCCAGAUGGAAUAAUUUGAUCAUCAAAAAUGAUUCCCUUGUUGGUGCUUGGAGUGGGCUGACUGAUGUGACAAGUAUGGAGUUGCUAAUUUACCUUACCUCACUUUUGUUUCUCUCUCGCAAUUGGGGCGAGCAUGCAUGGUCAGAAUGUGUGAGCCUCAGCUGUGUGCAGAACCCGAGCCCUUAACCCACAUAGUAUAACAUUUCACAGUGUCCAAGGUGACAGCCGGAGAUGGGGCGAGUUCAGUGAGAUUUCUCAAGACCUCACAGAACCACUCUGAGAAGGGAAGCAUUGCUGAAGGACUUCCCGGGCCUUCUGAAGUGUGCCUUUGGACCUGGCUGUGGGGCUAUCCAUUAGGCACAGAUGCACGUUCCUCAUGCUGCCACUACCCCUGUUUCGUUAGGCAAAAUGUUAGGGUGAGAAGGUAUCCGGAGAACUCGCUAGCCCAGAUCCGCCCCGACAGUGAAGCUGAUGCACCUACAAGCCUGUGAUGUGUCUGGGAGUACGUUCCCAGGCAACAGUUGGGAUGUGACUACAGUGUAGAUCUUCUGCUCAUUCAUCUCAUGCCCUUCCCACUUUUGUACAGAUCCUCAAAAGAUCCUGGAAAAAAUGAAUACCAAGUCCCUACACUCCAGGAAAAUAACCCUGAGGACAUUUAGAUGUAUACAACAUGGUCAUCUAGCUCAGUAUGAGUUAUGUGAACCACACGUCUGUAGUGGGCCAUUAGCUGCCAGCAGAUGCUCAGCUAGGGCUGGGGCCCUGGGAGUCCCUCCCUGUUUCACGCUGGAAGUUUUGACUGGCUUGAUCAUGCAUGGGUCUUGUGCAGGUAAGCACAGCUGCUGUGAGUUCUUGCGUGCAGCAGCUUUGUCAAGUCUGUAAGAUAGCAUUUCACAGCAUCCUCCCAUCCCCUAGCCUUAUGUUCUUUCUGCCCCAUGUUCCCAGAGCCUUGGCAGGGGUGGGAGUAGGACGUUCUUAACACCGGUAAAGUCUAUGAUUUGUUUCAAAUGAAAAAAAUCACAUCCUUCGCUACAGUGUACAGAGAAUUGUAUCUUUUUUUUGUAAAAAGUUACAGUGUGUGCAUUCAUGUAUAUAUGUACAUAUGAAAUACAGUUGUAUCAGUAAAUGACCUUGGACCCACAAACUAAAAUGAAAUAAUAAAAUGAUCAUUAUAGGUGGUGGGAUUAUCUGACUUGUUUUUAUUUUUCCUUUUCUGAGGUUCCUGAAUUAUGAAUGUAUAAUUUUUGUAGUAGAAAUAAAUCUUUUUGUGGUAAAAAAAUAAUGGUGUGUUGUGAAACUGGGAGUGAAUUAGAGGGUCUAGUUCUGAACUCAGUGUCUUACAUAGAAUUUCAUGCUGUUUCUAAAGAGCAAGACCUUUUGAUGGUUUCAUUCCACAUUCAACUUGAUUUAGGGGGGCUUCAGAUUUGGGAACUCCUUGGCCCCUGAAAUAUGUACAACCUGAUGUGCAAUGAAAUAAGCAAAUUAUAAGACAGUUACAUGCACACACACACACACACACUCACUCAUAUGUGUGUGUAGGAAUAUACAUGCACAGAUAAGUAGGCAUACAUAUAUGUACAUGUGUACAGAAAAAAGAUUUCACAUAAAGCAUUUCCAUUUAUCUGAGCUUCACUGUCUUUUUUGUUUUCUUACUUAAAAUAUACAUCAUGGCCCAUAGGAUUAGCUUUUUUAUGCAUUUAGGAGAUGUUCCUUACAAAUGUCAAGAGACUUGUCCUGCAUGAGAGCUAGAUAGAGACAUUCUGGGGCUUUGGCAUGGGAUGGGAGGGGGGAGGAACUCAAAUGGAGCUCCAGGUGCUGCUCAUUAUGAUCUGGAGUAGGACAAAUAAUGUAAAUACUCAUUAUUAUAAUCAUACCAUAUCUUGAUACCAUUUUAAGCAUACACUUGUUAUUACCCUAUUACAUGUAUGAGUGCAUCUGACUUAGACUGGCUGAGAAUACAAAUUCUGAGAUUUCCCCCUGGAUGGCUGAGAGCACACACACUUGUGUGAGAGCACAAGGUCACAUUUCUUUUAUUAUAUGCAUAUGAAUGUUUUGUCUGCAUGUAUAUCUAUGCACCACAUGUGUGUCUGGUUUCCAGAGUGAGGCAUCAACUCCUCUGGGACUGGAGUUACAGCUGUGAGGUACCUUGUGGGUGCAUGGAAUUGAACCCAGAACCUC